UAAGGAAUAUUGCUCAAUGGGAGAAAUCCUGAAGCAGCAACGCCGCGUGGAGGAUGAAGGGUCUAUGACUUGUAAACUCCUGUAAAGAAGGAAAAAAUUCCCAUUUGAUGGGAGAUGAUGGUACUUCUGGAGUAAGCCCCGGCUAACUACGUGCCAGCAGCCGCGGUAAUACGUAGGGGGCAAGCGUUGUCCGGAUUUACUGGGUGUAAAGGGUGCUCAGGCGGAUUUGUAAGUCAGAGGUGAAAUCUUACAGCUUAACUGUGAAACUGCCUUUGAUACUGCAAGCCUAGAGUAUGGAAGAGAGCGAUGGAAUAUCUGGUGUAGCAGUGAAAUGCGUAGAUAUCAGAUAGAACACCAAUGGCGAAGGCAGUCACUUGGUCCAUUACUGACGCUAAAGCACGAAAGCGUGGGUAGCAAACA
rnacentral:rRNA from 1 species